rnacentral:rRNA from 1 species
UGGGGAAUAUUGCGCAAUGGGCGAAAGCCUGACGCAGCGACGCCGCGUGAGGGAUGAAGGUUUUCGGAUCGUAAACCUCUGUCAGAAGGGAAGAAACCGCACUGUGCUAAUCAGCAGUGCCUUGACGGUACCUUCAAAGGAAGCACCGGCUAACUCCGUGCCAGCAGCCGCGGUAAUACGGAGGGUGCAAGCGUUAAUCGGAAUUACUGGGCGUAAAGCGCACGUAGGCUGCUUUGUAAGUCAGGGGUGAAAUCCCACGGCUCAACCGUGGAACUGCCUUUGAUACUGCUUGGCUUGAAUCCGGGAGAGGGUGGCGGAAUUCCAGGUGUAGGGGUGAAAUCCGUAGAUAUCUGGAGGAACAUCAGUGGCGAGGGCGGCCACCUGGACCGGUAUUGACGCUGAGGUGCGAAAGCGUGGGGAGCAAACAGG